UAAGUUGAAGCGUAAAGUGAAGAUUUGUGGAAACGUUUAUUAUGCGGAUAUUGUUGUGGAUGUAGAAGAACAAAAAAAAGUUUUUGAUGCAGAGCAUAACAGUCCUUUAGGGGGCCAUGGUGGCACUAACAAAACAAUUAUGAAAAUGCUGGAAAAAUAUUAUUGGCCUAAUAUUACCGGAGAUAUUAAAAAAUGGAUAAAACAAUGCCUUCGACGUCAAACUUCGGGUCAACUGCUUUCAGUAUCCGAACCUUUGCAUUCCAUAAAGACAACAAGAGUAUGGGAAAUUAUUGGUAUAGACUUUGCUGGCCCAUUUAUUGAAACAUCAAAGGUUAACAAAUACUUCAUGAGUUGUACUGAUUUAUAUUCUAAAUGGCAUUAUUUUCUAUAGCAUACGCUUUACCCAAUAAGGAAGUAAUAACAGUAGCAAGAGCAAUAAUAAAACUCGUGACAUCCUUUGGAUUUCCAUCUGUUAUUCUUACUGACAAUGGAACUGACUUUUGCAAUGAGAACAUUGAAGAAUUAAAACAAAAAAAGUACUAUGAUAAAAGAGUUUCGAAAAAUAUCAAAUGUAACAAAGAAAAUAAUAAUAUUGGAGACAAAAUUUUACUUCUUAAUAUUAGAGGAAAAAGAAGCGUAGGAGCAGCUUUUAAGCCACGGUUUGAAGGGCCUUAAGCAGUAAGUUGUAUUACAAAAAGUGAAAAUUUCAAACUGAGUAGAGGAAAAGUUACACUACUGAAGUAUAAGUUUUCGAAUAGCUAAUAUCAUUUUUAAUUCCAAGAAAAAAGUAGUUUUAUGAAAAUAAUUGCUAUAUAAUGAACUAUUUCUAAUUUAACCCUUGUAUACUCUACUUUAAAUACAAGUAUAACAAAAAACAAAGUAGAAAUUGAAAAAAAAAACAUUCAUCGGUGGAAAGCAUAAACGAUAAGGCAGAGACACCAAUAAAAAGCUUUGAAAUUAAAGAUAGUGAAGAGGUGGCAGAUACAAAAAAAAGUUUCGUAAUAAAAGAUGGUAAAAGUAGGAUUUAAAAAAUUACUUUUUCAUUUAUAAAUGUUAGCGUUUUAUUUUAAAGUAUCGCUUGUUUUUUAGAGAAGGCAGAGAAACCAAUCCCCUUUGUAGUUGAAUAUAGUGAAGAAGAGGCAGAUAAUCAGAUAAAAAGCUCGGUAGUUAAAGACAGUGAAGAGGUGGCAAGUAUUGCAUGUUUUUUAGAGAAGGCAGAGACAA